UGUUGAUCAAGGUGGCCCGGGUGGCGUUGUUGGUCGUGGCAUUCACCCUCCACGCCCACACUCCUGUAGCUGCUGCUGUACACCCCUUCCCAGCUCACAGCUUGGGUGGUUGGACGGCAGAAGAGACCGAGGGUAGCGUCAUGGCCCAGAUAACGAGGCAGUACCUGGGUGGGUGUCACCUGACGAUGGUAACAUCAAAUCAUCACAACACCGCCUUCAAUAACGACUUCAGGGAGGUGUGGCUAGGGGGGCAGACGAGUGUGUUGGUGACUUGGGGACACGACCAUUCACCCAGGAACGCUGAUCUCUUCCACUAUCUGACGCAAGGGGACCACACCCUCACCUGUCGGGCCGUCAUUCUCUAUCUCUCCUCCGUCCUGUCCUUCAAUCCCUUUGUUAAUGACGUUAACGACUCUGUCGGUGCCUUCACCUCCUCCAACACCCCCAGCAGUCCCUCCGUCAACGUGUCCGCCGCUGAUGUUAUGACGUUCCUGGAGGAGACGGAGGUGGUGCCCGAGACGC